GGAAUUGGAGAAGCAAUAUUUGGGGGUGGGGGAUCUUACAAGUGCUCACAGCACAACCCAAGCCUAAGACCUUUUUUCCCUUCCUUCCCUCUUCUUUUUUUUCAGUUUACAAUUAACACUCAGGGUUUAGUCUCCACCCCUCUCUCUUGAAAUGGAAUUUUUAUCUCUUGAUUCAUGCUACAAGAUAAAAUCCCUGUUUAUCCAGUUGCAUGAAUAAUUGAUAAGCUCUUUCCAACUUGCCAGAAGCAACUUAGCCGUCUCGCCUUGCGGCCUGGAACCCCUGGCAAUUUCCGGAGCACCGGCAAGAGACUUUUGCACAGUCUCUGCUUGGAGUCUACUGACUCUCUGUCUCAGAGGUCUGGACAGCUACUUGUUAUAUUUGGCUCAUGCUAGCUUAAAAAAGGAAUUUAUGGACCUUACUGCAGAACGUCCCAAUUCUUCAGGCCAAGGAGGAGUGACUGAGAGGUGCCUGCAAGGCCAGUGGAGGCCACCCUGGAGGCCUGCCUCUUCCAGCCCACAGGCCCUGCUUCCCGGAUCUGGUGUGGGUCAUUCAUUCCAGUUCGCCUCUGAAACUAUUUUCAUGACAGUAAGCUGCUACCUCAAGAAACAGCAGAGAUGUUGCCUCUCAGGCGUGUUUGCUGUUUGGGAUGUGCAUCUUGGAAUAAGUCUCCUUCUGGAGCUUGGAAUACCAGAUUCUGCCAUCACAACGUUUGCCAUGCACAGAUCGCCCUGGCCUGGACGGGACCUUAGCUGUUACUGUCCGUGCUCCCUCGCUUGA
rnacentral:lncRNA from 10 species